UUUAAACCCGACACGCUCGCGAUCGCCGUUCGAACGGCGAUUACGGACGUCCGGGCGGCGUCCCGCGGGCUGCGAGCCACCAGAUCGAUAAAUCGGGAACGCGAAUUCCGCCGAGCCGGGUCCCCGAGGAUCCCCAGGGCUUGGCGUCCCGUAAAUUUCCGCGAAAAUAACAGAAAGUUUACUCACUUUCAACCACGUCCGCCAUGUUGACAGUCAGUGAUGCAUCAUGGGUACGCGCUUCCCGACUCGACGUUCGCAGUCCGCCAUCUCGCGUGGUCGAAUCCGGUUGGUUCUGCCAUCGCGGAAGUCACGCGCCGCUUGUCGCGUUAUGAAUCUUUCUGGGCUGCGCGGAGUUUCGAGAUAAAGACAGAUUAAUUACAUCCGAGGAGAACGACGAAUAUUUGCUGGUUAGUGCCGAGAAUCUUACGACUGUCAUAUUAGCAUGUCGUUAUUGAAGCAACGAUCAAGAAGAAUCCCAACCAAAAAUUUGGUAUUAUCAAGAUCGAUAUCAAAAGGAACCG